rnacentral:sRNA from 1 species
GCUGGGUGUGGUGGCGUGCACCUGUGAUCCUUGUGACUCAGGAGGCUGAGGCAGGAGGAUUGCAAGUUCAAGGCCAGCUUCAGCAGCUUAGUGAGUCUCUGUCUCAA